UACGAAGGGGGCGAGCGUUGUUCGGAGUUACUGGCGUAAAGGGCGCGUAGGCGGCGCUCCAAGUUAGGCGUGAAAGCCCCGGGCUCAACCUGGGAAUUGCGCUUAAGACUGGAGUGCCCGAGUGCGGAAGAGGUGAGUGGAAUUCCCAGUGUAGAGGUGAAAUUCGUAGAUAUUGGGAAGAACACCAGUGGCGAAGGCGGCUCACUGGUCCGCAACUGACGCUGAGGCGCGAAAGCGUGGGGAGCAAACAGGG
rnacentral:rRNA from 1 species